CGCUGGCGGCGUGCUUAACACAUGCAAGUCGAACGAUGAACCACUUCGGUGGGGAUUAGUGGCGAACGGGUGAGUAACACGUGGGCAAUCUGCCCUUCACUCUGGGACAAGCCCUGGAAACGGGGUCUAAUACCGGAUACCACUACCGCAGGCAUCUGUGGUGGUUGAAAGCUCCGGCGGUGAAGGAUGAGCCCGCGGCCUAUCAGCUUGUUGGUGAGGUAAUGGCUCACCAAGGCGACGACGGGUAGCCGGCCUGAGAGGGCGACCGGCCACACUGGGACUGAGACACGGCCCAGACUCCUACGGGAGGCAGCAGUGGGGAAUAUCGCACAAUGGGCGAAAGCCUGAUGCAGCGACGCCGCGUGAGGGAUGACGGCCUUCGGGUUGUAAACCUCUUUCAGCAGGGAAGAAGCGAAAGUGACGGUACCUGCAGAAGAAGCGCCGGCU
rnacentral:rRNA from 1 species